CUUUCCGGCGGUGACGACCUACCCACACGAGAACAUGCCUGUGAGUGCUUUGGUCCAGGUUUCCGCGGAGAUCUCGCUGUUCUGUCCGCACUCUCCCCUCACGCUGAUUUCGGAUCGCAGAGGGUCCUCAUUUGCUCUCUGCACUUCUUAGGACAUUAACUCCAGGGACCGCAGCGGCCCACGGGCCACCCGCAUAGACGGGAGCGGAGAGGAGAUAAGAUGGCGGCCCAGCUGCGCAGACACCAGGGGCGGCGCGGGGCGAGCUCUCCCCGGUGUGUGACAGUGGGGGCUGUUUUCGACCAUCCCGUUUUCGCCGUUGGAUUCUAAAUCUCUGCAUUUCUGUCCCUCUUAGCUCGCAAAGGAUCUCCUUCAUCCCUCUCCAGAAGAGGAGAAGAGGAAACACAAGAAGAAACGCCUGGUGCAGAGCCCCAAUUCCUACUUCAUGGAUGUGAAAUGCCCAGGAUGCUAUAAAAUCACCACGGUCUUUAGCCAUGCACAAACGGUAGUUUUGUGUGUUGGCUGCUCCACUGUCCUCUGCCAGCCUACAGGAGGAAAAGCAAGGCUUACAGAAGGAUGUUCCUUCAGGAGGAAGCAGCACUAAAAGCACUCUGAAUCAAGAUGAGUGGGAAACCAUCUCAAUAAACACAUUUUGG
rnacentral:sRNA from 1 species